AGGGUUUGAUCAUGGCUCAGAACGUACGCUGGCGGCACGCCUUAUACAUGCAAGUCGAACGAAGUAGCAAUACUUAGUGGCAGACGGGUGAGUAACAUGUAGGUAUCUUCCCUUUGGUGAGGAAUAACACGAGGAAACUUGUGCUAAUACCUCAUAAGUCUUUACGGAGAAAGCUUUAUGCGCCGAAGGAUGAGCCUGCACUUGAUUAGUUUGUUGGUGGGGUAAUGGCCUACCAAGACUUUGAUCAAUAGCUGAUUUGAGAGGAUGAUCAGCCACAUUGGGACUGAGACACGGCCCAAACUCCUACGGGAGGCAGCAGUGGGGAAUCUUGCACAAUGGAGGAAACUCUGAUGCAGCGAUGCCGCGUGAGUGAAGAAGGCCCUUGGGUUGUAAAGCUCUUUCGUCGGGGAAGAAAAUGACUGUACCCGAAUAAGAAGGUCCGGCUAACUUCGUGCCAGCAGCCGCGGUAAUACGAAGGGACCUAGCGUAGUUCGGAAUUACUGGGCUUAAAGAGUUCGUAGGUGGUUGAAAAAGUUGGUGGUGAAAUCCCAGAGCUUAACUCUGGAACUGCCAUCAAAACUUUUCAGCUAGAGUUUGAUAGAGGAAAGCAGAAUUUCUAGUGUAGAGGUGAAAUUCGUAGAUAUUAGAAAGAAUACCAAUUGCGAAGGCAGCUUUCUGGAUCAUUACUGACACUGAGGAACGAAAGCAUGGGUAGCGAAGAGGAUUAGAUACCCUCGUAGUCCAUGCCGUAAACGAUGUGUGUUAGACGUUGGAAAUUUAUUUUCAGUGUCGCAGCGAAAGCGAUAAACACACCGCCUGGGGAGUACGACCGCAAGGUUAAAACUCAAAUGAAUUGACGGGGACCCGCACAAGUAGUGGAGCAUGUGGUUUAAUUCGAAGAUACGCGCAGAACCUUACCAACACUUGACAUGUUCGUCGCGACUUUAAGAGAUUAAAGUUUUCGGUUCGGCCGGACGAAACACAGGUGCUGCAUGGCUGUCGUCAGCUCGUGUCGUGAGAUGUUGGGUUAAGUCCCGCAACGAGCGCAACCCUCACUUUUAGUUGCCAUCAUUAAGUUGGGCACUCUGAAAGAACUGCCAGUGAUAAGCUGGAGGAAGGUGGGGAUGACGUCAAGUCCUCAUGGCCCUUACGUGUUGGGCUACACACGUGCUACAAUGGUAUUUACAACAGGAAGCAAGACGGCGACGUUAAGCAAAUCCUUAAAAAAUACCUCAGUUCGGAUUGCACUCUGCAACUCGAGUGCAUGAAGCUGGAAUUACUAGUAAUCGUGGAUCAGCGUGCCACGGUGAAUGCGUUCCCGGGUCUUGUACACACCGCCCGUCACACCAUGGGAGUUGGUUCUACCUUAAGGCAAGGUUUUAAACCCUUGACCACGGUAUAGUCAGCGACUGGGGUGAAGUCGUAACAAGGUAGCCGUA
rnacentral:rRNA from 1 species